AAAUGACUCUCGGCAACGGAUAUCUCGGCUCUCACAUCGAUGAAGAACGUAGCGAAAUGCGAUACUUGGUGUGAAUUGCAGAAUCCCGUGAAUCAUCAAGUCUUUGAACGCAAGUUGCGCCUGAAGCCAUUAGGCUGAGGGCACGUCUGCCUGGGUGU
rnacentral:rRNA from 1 species